GAUGAACGCUAGCGGCAGGCCUAAUACAUGCAAGACGAACGGUAAGUUGAGUAGCAAUACUUAGCCAAGAGUGUCGUACGGGUGCGUAACACGUAUGCAACCUACCCUAUACAGGAGGAUAGCCUAGGGAAACCUGGAUUAACCCUUCAUAGUAUUAUUGGAUGGCAUCAUUUGAUAAUUAAAACUGAGGUGGUAUAGGAUGGGCAUGCGUCUGAUUAGUUAGUUGGCGGGGUAAUGGCCCACCAAGACGAUGAUCAGUAGGGGUUCUGAGAGGAAGAUCCCCCACACUGGCACUGAGAUACGGGCCAGACUCCUACGGGAGGCAGCAGUAGGGAAUAUUGGUCAAUGGAUGCAAGUCUGAACCAGCCAUGCCGCGUGCAGGAAGAAGGCCUUCUGGGGUUGUAAACUGCUUUUGCCAGGGGAUAAAAUUUCCAUGCGUGGAAAACUGAAGGUACCUGGUGAAUAGGCCACGGCUAACUACGUGCCAGCAGCCGCGGUAAU
rnacentral:rRNA from 1 species